AACGCGAAGAACCUUACCUCGGCUUGACAUGCACCUGGUACCGAGGGGAAACCUGAGGGACCCGCAAGGGAGGGUGCACAGAUGCUGCAUGGCUGUCGUCAGCUCGUGCCGUGAGGUGUUGGGUUAAGUCCCGCAACGAGCGCAACCCUUGUCCUUAGUUGCCAUCUCUAAGGAGACCGCCGGUCUAAACCGGAGGAAGGUGGGGAUGACGUCAAGUCAGCACGGCUCUUACGUCGAGGGCUACACACACGCUACAAUGGCCGGUACAACGGGCUGCGAAGGGGCGACCUGGAGCUAAUCCCACCAAAGCCGGUCUCAGUUCGGAUCGCAGGCUGCAACUCGCCUGCGUGAAGUCGGAGUUGCUAGUAACUGCUGGUCAGCACACAGCAGUGAAUACGUUCCCGGGCCUUGUA
rnacentral:rRNA from 1 species